UGUGUAGGCGGUUGUUUAAGUUUGGUGUGAAAUCUCCCGGCUCAACCGGGAGGGUGCGCCGAAUACUGAAUGACUUGGAGUGCGGGAGAGGAAAGUGGAAUUCCUGGUGUAGCGGUGAAAUGCGUAGAUAUCAGGAGGAACACCGGUGGUGUAGACGGCUUUCUGGACCGUAACUGACGCUGAGACACGAAAGCGUGGGUAGCAAACAGGAUUAGAUACCCUGGUAGUCCACGCCCUAAACGAUGCAUAUUUGGUGUGGGCAGUUCAUUCUGUCCGUGCCGGAGCUAACGCGUUAAAUAUGCCGCCUGGGGAGUACAGUCGCAAGGCUGAA
rnacentral:rRNA from 1 species